rnacentral:rRNA from 1 species
UACGUAGGGGGCUAGCGUUGUCCGGAAUCAUUGGGCGUAAAGCGCGCGUAGGCGGCCAGAUAAGUCCGGUGUGAAAGUCACAGGCUCAACCUGUGAAUGCCGCUGGAAACUGUCUGGCUAGAGUCCGGAAGGGGCGGAGUGGAAUUCCUGGUGUAGCGGUAGAAAUGCGCAGAUAUCCGGAGGAACACCGGUGGCGAAGGCGGCUUACCUGGACCGACACUGGACGGCUGAGGCGCGAAAGCUAGGGGAGCAAACGGGAUUCAAGAU